UACGUAGGGAGCAAGCGUUGUCCGGAAUCAUUGGGCGUAAAGAGCGUGUAGGCGGCCCGGUAAGUCCGCUGUGAAAGUCGGGGCUCAACCCUCGAAUGCCGGUGGAUACUGUCGGGCUAGAGUGCGGAAGAGGCGAGUGGAAUUCCUGGUGAUAGCGGUGAAAUGACGCAGAUAUCAGGAGGAACACCGAUGGCGAAGGCAGGUCUCUGGGCCGAUACUGACGCUGAGGAGCGAAAGCGUGGGGAGCGAACAGG
rnacentral:rRNA from 1 species